AUUGAACGCUGGCGGCAGGCUUAACACAUGCAAGUCGAGCGGGGUGAUGGUGCUUGCACUAUCACUUAGCGGCGGACGGGUGAGUAAUGCUUAGGAAUCUGCCUAUUAGUGGGGGACAACAUCUCGAAAGGGAUGCUAAUACCGCAUACGUCCUACGGGAGAAAGCAGGGGAUCACUUGUGACCUUGCGCUAAUAGAUGAGCCUAAGUCGGAUUAGCUAGUUGGUGGGGUAAAGGCCUACCAAGGCGACGAUCUGUAGCGGGUCUGAGAGGAUGAUCCGCCACACUGGGACUGAGACACGGCCCAGACUCCUACGGGAGGCAGCAGUGGGGAAUAUAGGACAAUGGGGGGAACCCUGAUCCAGCCAUGCUGCGUGUGUGAAGAAGGCCUUAUGGUUGUAAAGCACUUUAAGCGAGGAGGAGGCUCUUUUGGUUAAUACCCAAGGUGAGUGGACGUUACUCGCAGAAUAAGCACCGGCUAACUCUGUGCCAGCAGCCGCCGUAA
rnacentral:rRNA from 1 species